UCGAACGCCUUGCGGCACAUGAGUUCUACAGAAACUCCAUUCCCUAUUUAUUUGUGAUAAAUGCUUCAUUCUAUAACGAGGCAGGGGGAUUUAAUUGACAUUGUAUUCAGACUUGGAAUUGAUAAUUCUUACGAUAGAGUUUUACAAAUGUCUUCCGCCCUCAAUCAUCAAGCAGUCGAAUAUUUUUAAGAACAAGUUGUUAUGUGCUCUCCAUACCUUCAGAAAGGAGUUUUUGUCACAAGUGCAGUGGAUAACAUAGACAUCAAUCCUUCUUCUGUUGUUUUCAUGGUACAGCAAUUUCUUUACAUCAACAUUAUGAUUAUACUCAACCAAAAAUUGAGCAAAAAAUCACACUUACGGAUUGCCCGGUUUCAAAAAAGGUCCUAUCCUGUGAAAUAUACCACAGUCUCCCCAGUGAAAUAUACCACAGUCUCCCCAGUGAAAUAUACCACAGUCUCCCCUGUAAAAUAUACCACAGUCUCCCCUCUUUUCAUAAAAAAGAGGAUACCAAAUUUAAAAAAAAAACUGACCGCCUCUCUUCCGUCAGCUCAAUUAAAGAGGGAAAAAGUUUCGAAACAACAAAUAAUUCGCCGAAUAAAGUAGAAACCGAACUUUUAAUGAACUCACAACCGCCGAAAAUUGUUGCUUCGGGCUCAUUUAUAUUCUACAUUUUUGCUUGAAAAUAACCCAUCAGUUACGUACAUGACAAAAUGCGAGCUAAUACCUAUGUUUUCCGAGGUGGCACAUACUCCGGCAAUGAUUGCUCAUGCAAUGAAAAUCGCACGCCAGAAGGCACCGAAUAUUUGAACAAGGGCCAAAUUCCUAUUAUGACAUGUGGCGAACCACUUUUUGUCAUUGCAAGGCAUUGAAAUGGCAAUUUUCCGACAAAUUUGGUGAGGAUAAAUUUGUUGUAACGUUGGGUGGUUUACACAUUGAAAAGGCCAUUCUGAAUGUUCUUGGAGAUCUUCUAGAUGGCAGUGUUUUUUCAGAAGCGUUUUUUCAGAGCGUUUUUUCAGAAAAUACUGGCUAUCCGUUUUUCCUUUCAAACGCAAUGUCUCAGCGCAGAAAGUAAGUUCCCAAGGGUGGGUCCACCCCAUCUGAUUUCAGUCAAGCGUAUGUAAAUGCUUCCGGACCACAGCAAGCUUAUCAAGCAGGAGCACACUUCGUCCAACGAGGACAACAACAACGCUCUGGUGCCUCUCGAGAGUCCAACAACACCAACACCAACAAGGGCAAUAGGUCAAGUCAAAGGCAAGAAGGCUUUCGAUCCCAGCAAAAUCAAUACUUGCAGGAAGCGUUGAAUCGUGAUCUCACCAACAAAUUGUUACCCGGUGUUAAGACCGGUGAAAAUGCAGCUAGUCGUCUCGAAUCUUACAAUUCAAAUAGAGCCGUCGUUUUAGCAAUCACCACCCGACAAAUGGGUUUUGGAGUAACGUGCAUCUUUUCUGCACUUGCGCAGCUCCCCGCUAAUAGUGGCUGGUGGGAGACUCUCGUCGAAGGCGGAAUAACAUCCGCCAGUCGUGCACAGUCUUUCAUUCAAGUCCAUCAUAUGAAAAGGACGAGGUUUGCACAUCAAGUGAACCUGUGCGCUUUGUUUGUUUUGAAAAAAACAGGCAUAAUCGAAUUGUGUUGUAGAUUUUAGGAAAGACAAUGAGAACGAAACUGAUAAGCUUCUCUCAUUUGAAGAAUGGAACAAAAAACACUGCGAGUCAAGCUCUCAGUUUUUAUUUUAAGUUUUGCAAUUGAGCUGAAAGAGUGCCUCCUCAAAUAUCUGACGUCACUGCGGAGCUCUAACUUUGAACGCUACAUAAAAUCUAAAAAAAAAUGCCUCGUGGAUUUUAGUUUUAAUCAUUAAAGUUAUGCUAGAGGAUGGAGGAUUCAUUUGUGAGAUAUGGUGAAUUUAAAGGGACUGCAUCCCUCAAUGUACGCCGAAUUUUGAAACGGAAAAUUCACAGCUAUUAUUUCCGGGAGAAAAAUGCUAGAGGAUGGAGGAUUCAUUUGUGAGAUAUGGUGAAUUUAAAGGGACUGCAUCCCUCAAUGUACGCCGAAUUUUGAAACGGAAAAUUCACAGCUAGUAUUUCCGGGAGAAAAAUGCUAGAAGAUGGCUACCGAUUCAUUUGCGAGAUAUGGUGAAUUUAAAGGGAUUGCAUCCCUCAAUGUACGCUGAAUUUUUUAAACGGAAAAUUCACAGCUAGUAUUUCCGUGAGAAAAUUUUCCGCUAUGGCCUUAGAUCAGGCCCAUGAACAAUGUAAUUCCAGGAUCAAAGGAGAUGGAGUGCUUAAACACAAAGCCAGUAAACAGCAGGAAAAAAAAAGAAAAAAAGGUGAUGGAGGCGCUGUCGGUUUGACAGAGAAUCCCGACGAAUUACGACGAUGGAUGGUUGCUGGACCAGAGAUUUCAAGAGUUACCGUCAGUUGGGGUAACUUGGGACAGUUUUGAACUUUGAACUAAAAUUUCUCCAUUAAAACAAAACAAAUAAUAAAUUGUUAAGGCUCUCAUUUGUUGGUCUUAGUUAGUACUCUAAACCUACGCCAUCUUUUUUUUUUUAUUUUUUUUUAAAAAAAAAUGUUGGUGUCCCAAGUUACCUGAAUAGUUGGGGUAACUUGGGACACUAAUGUAUUUUCAGUGUUUGGCUCAUGUUUAAUAGUUAUCAUGUAACUUGGGACAAAAAUUUAAGUUUUAAAAAAUAUAUAAAGCCAUUUGGCAUGAAAAAAGUUACCGUCAGUUGGGGUAACUUGGGACUGCGGUCUAACUUGGGACAAAUUGUCCCAUUUUCGUAAUCGUGAUGUAGCAACCGUGCAUUGUUUAUAUUUGGAUUUCUGAGGCCUUAACCUCAAACACCCAAGCCAGGAGAGUCUGUGCGAGAAUUUGAAAUGGUACUCUUCCAUCUGUCUUAGUAUCAUGGCUCGUCUUCCAAAACGGCAAGUUGGUGGUAGGCCGUAUCAAAAUUAUACGCAGCGGAAUCUCAAGAAAGCUGUGUUGGCGGUCAGAAAGGGAAUGAGUCUGAGGGAUGCCAGUACGCAAUACGAAGUGCCAACGUUUCCUAGAAAACAAUUUUCUUCAGUGCCUACUUAAUGCUCGUUUUGUUUAUGUUUAUUUUUUUAUUUUUAUAAAUGUUUUUAUUAAAAUGCACAUUAUUUCUUGAA